CUCACUACGCCACCGCUGCCUGAUCCACCCGCCCCAUCGGUCAGGAUUUACGUGGUGGUUUUCACGGGAAAGAUAGCUAUGUCGGAGUUAAAGAAAUUUACCAAAAGGUUGAGUAAACCUGGAACGGCGGCCAAAGCGUCUCGGAGGCUGUGAGGACAUCGGUGAUUGUGUACGCUAGGGAAGCGGACCAGCUCAAUAAACUCAACAGGAAUGAAGGGAGACUAAAGCUGUUCUCUCUGGACCCUGAAACACAGCUCCUUCCCUUCCACAUCCUCCUCUCCUCUCUCUUUCCUCCCCCCUCUCCACUCCUUUCCACUUCUUCCUCCUCUCUCCCCUCCAGAGGUUGGACUUCUCGGGUAUAGAGCCUGACGUGAAGUCGUUUGAGGAGCGUUUCGGCCGGCGCAUCGCCAUCAGCUGCCAUGACCUCACCUUCAGCCUGCAGGGCUGUGUCAACGAGAGGGGGGACGGGGUCCUCACCAAUGUGGAGCCGUUCUUCAUCAGCCUGGCUCUGUUUGAUGUGUUGCUAAGAGCUGUAAGAUCUCCUCUGACUUCCAUGUGGACCUCAACCCCCCCCCCGUGUACGAGAGAUGCUGACCGACACCUCUCCUCCUCCCUACAUCAGAGGGAGGAGGAGGAGGAGGAGGUGGAGGAGGAGUGAACGGUGAUGCAGGGAAAGGGAAUGGUCUGCCCAUUCUACAGAGGGUGUCUGAGUCUCUGCUGCGUUUCCCUACUCAGGGUAUCUUCUCAGUGACCAACCUCCAUGCUGAUAUUUUCCUGGUGGCCAAAGUGGAGAAUGUCCUACAGAACAGUAUUACACACUGUGCUGAGCCCUACAUUAAGACCUCAGACAUCAACAAGACAGCCCAGAAGGUUCUGAAGGCUGCCAAGCAGACGUGUCAGCGCCUGGGCCAGUAUAGGAUGCCCUUCGCCUGGGCUGCCAAGCAGGUGUUUAAAGAUGCCCAGGGCAGUCUGGGUAUGGACGGGAAGUUCUCUCCUCUCUAUCGCCAGGACAACAGCAAGAUCUCCACCGAUGACCUCAUCAAUGCUGGCUGACAUCAGGAAGCCAGAGAAGAGCAAGGUACAGACUAUCCCUGGACAACUAAAUGUCACCAUCGAGUGUAUGCCUCCAGACUUCUCAAACACGGUGACCUCGUCCUACAUCCCAGUCAAGCCCUUUGAUGAGGAGUGUGAGAGGGUCCCUGUGGAGAUGGAGGAGUUUCUCCCUGAGGAGGCCAAGUACAACUACCUUUUCACUGUCUACAAGAACCACCUGUAUAUAUAUCCCCUGCAGCUGAAAUACGACAACCAGAAGACCUUUGCCAAGGCAAGAAGCGUAGCGGUGUGUGUGUGCAUUUCAGAGACUCGGACGAAGAAGGCGUGGCCCCUCUAAAGUGGGCUACUCCUGGGUCACUCUGUUGAAGGACGGCAGGAUGCAGUCUAUAGAGAUACAACUGCCUGUGUCUACCACCCUGCCCCCUGGAUACCUGUAUGACAAGACCCAGGACACAA